rnacentral:misc_RNA from 1 species
UUUGCCUUUUGGGUUGCCGGUCAGCUGAAAUACAUUCACGCUUUAAGAGCUGCUUUCCCUUCGGGAAAGGCGAGUUCCGAUUUGGUAGGUGACCUUUGCCGGUUGCAUGCCUUCGUUGCCCGUUAUGCUCUCAACUGCGCUGUGCAGGACGCCAUUUGGCUUUCGACCUGAGGUCAGGCAAGAACACCCGCUGAACUUAA